rnacentral:rRNA from 1 species
UACAGAGGGUGCGAGCGUUGUCCGGAAUCACUGGGCGUAAAGGGCGCGUAGGCGGCCUGAUAAGUAGGGGGUGAAAUCUUGCGGCUCAACCGCAGGGCUGCCUUCUAAACUGUCAGGCUGGAGCACGGUAGAGGCAGAUGGAAUUCCCGGUGUAGCGGUGGAAUGCGUAGAGAUCGGGAAGAACACCAGUGGCGAAGGCGGUCUGCUGGGCCGUUGCUGACGCUGAGGCGCGACAGCGUGGGGAGCAAACAGG